rnacentral:rRNA from 1 species
UACGUAGGUGACCAGCGUUGUCCGGAUUACUGGGCGUAAAGAGCGCGCAGGCGGUCGUUCCAAGUCGAGUGUGAAAGCCCCCCGGCUCAACUGGGGAGGGUCAUUCGAUACUGAUCGACUCGAAGGCAGGAGAGGGAAGCGGAAUUCCCCGGUGUAGUGGUGAAAUGCGUAGAUAUCGGGAGGAACACCAGUGGCGAAGGCGGCUUCCUGGCCCUGUUCUUGACGCUGAGGC